GACGAACGCUGGCGGCGUGCUUAACACAUGCAAGUCGAACGGAAAGGCCCUGCUUUUGUGGGGUGCUCGAGUGGCGAACGGGUGAGUAACACGUGAGUAACCUGCCCUUGACUUUGGGAUAACUUCAGGAAACUGGGGCUAAUACCGGAUAGGAGCUCCUGCUGCAUGGUGGGGGUUGGAAAGUUUCGGCGGUUGGGGUUGGACUCGCGGCUUAUCAGCUUGUUGGUGGGGUAGUGGUUUACCAAGGCUUUGACGGGUAGCCGGCCUGAGAGGGUGACCGGCCACAUUGGGACUGAGAUACGGCCCAGACUCCUACGGGAGGCAGCAGUGGGGAAUAUUGCACAAUGGGCGGAAGCCUGAUGCAGCAACGCCGCGUGCGGGAUGACGGCCUUCGGGUUGUAAACCGCUUUCGCCUGUGACGAAGCGUGAGUGACGGUAAUGGGUAAAGAAGCACCGGCUAACUACGUG
rnacentral:rRNA from 1 species